rnacentral:rRNA from 1 species
UCUACGGGAGGCAGCAGUGGGGAAUAUUGCGCAAUGGGCGAAAGCCUGACGCAGCGACGCCGCGUGAGGGAUGAAGGUCUUCGGAUCGUAAACCUCUGUCAGCAGGGAAGAACGGUCACUGUGCUAAUCAGCAGUUAAUUGACGGUACCUGCAACGGAAGCACCGGCUAACUCCAUGCCAGCAGCCGCGGUAAUAAGGAGGGUGCGAGCGUUAAGCGGAAUUACUGGGCGUAAAGCGCUCGUAGGCGGUAUGUCAAGUCAAGGGUGAACUCCCCGCGCGCAAAGGGUGAACUGCCUUUGAAACUGGCAAACUGGAGUGUGUGAGAGGAUAGUGGAAUUCCAGGUGUAGGAGUGAAAUCCGUAGAUAUCUGGAGGAACAUCAGUGGCGAAGGCGACUAUCUGGCACAUAACUGAUGCUGAGGAGCGAAAGCGUGGGUAGCAAACAGGAUUAGAUACCCCAGUAGUC